UACGUAGGGGGCAAGCGUUGUCCGGAAUCAUUGGGCGUAAAGAGCGUGUAGGCGGCUUGGUAAGUCCGCUGUGAAAGUCCAGGGCUCAACCCUGGAAUGCCGGUGGAAACUGUCAAGCUUGAGUCCGGAAGAGGCGAGUGGAAUUCCUGGUGUAGCGGUGAAAUGCGUAGAUAUCAGGAGGAACACCAAUGGCGAAGGCAGCUCGCUGGGACGGUACUGACGCUGAGACGCGAAAGCGUGGGGAGCAAACAGG
rnacentral:rRNA from 1 species